rnacentral:rRNA from 1 species
CUAACCUCGGGCAAGCAGCCGGUGCAAGAACGAGUGUCGAGGCUGUAUGCGGAAUUACUGGGCGUGAAGAGGGGUGUAGUGGGCAUAGUAAGCGGGUAGUGAAAGCGUGUGGCUCAACCAGACUCACAUUAUCCGAACUGCUAAGCGAGAGGGGGAGAGAGGUUACUGGAAUUCCCAGUGUAGGAGUGAAAUCCGCAGAUAUUGGGAGGAACACCGAUGGCGUAGGCAGGUAACUGGCUCGUCCCUGACACUAAGGCACGAAAGCGUGGGGAGCAAACGGGAUUAGAUACCCGAGUAGUC